rnacentral:rRNA from 1 species
CUACGGAGGGUGCAAGCGUUAAUCGGAAUUACUGGGCGUAAAGCGCGCGUAGGCGGUUUGCUCAGUCGGAUGUGAAAGCCCAGGGCUCAACCUUGGAACUGCAUACGAUACUGGCAAACUCGAGUGUGAGAGAGGAUAGUGGAAUUUCCGGUGUAGCGGUGAAAUGCGUAGAUAUCGGAAGGAACAUCAGUGGCGAAGGCGACUGUCUGGCUCAACACUGACGCUGAGGUGCGAAAGCGUGGGUAGCAAACAGGAUUAGAAACCCUAGUAGUCC